ensembl:lncRNA LINC02109 long intergenic non-protein coding RNA 2109
AGAGACAGAGGAAAGGCUGAAGGUUGAGUUGAUUACCAGUAGCUCACGAUAUAAUCAUUCAUGCCUACAUAACACAGCUUUCAUAAGAACCCAAUAGGACAGGGUUCAAGGACCCUCUAAAGAAUGCCACACCUAUAGAGGCAUGGAAACUCUUUGCCACUUUCAUCUGACUAUUGAUCUAUAUCCUUUGUAAUGCCUCUUAUAAGAAAUGGGCAGAUUCUAGCAGUGUUUGUGAGAAAAACUGAUGGAUCCUGCAGAUUAACUAUGGACAGCCAAAUAUUGAGUAAAGUGAUGUCUACAACAGCAUCAGCUAUGCCUGAUAUGGUGUUAAUUCACAUUGUGAAGUUGUCUUUGUUUCAUGAACUACUUCUCCGUAAUAGCAUGCAGCCAUCUUCAAGAGGUGAGAAUUUCACUUAGCGACUUAAACAGAAGUGUUAUCUCAAGAUAAUAUAAUAUCUGGAGGUAAAACAGCAUCCCCAGGAUAAACAGAUGUUAAUUCCCUGCUUGCUGCAACUAGGAAGCAAGUGCCAACAUAUUUGGGAAUGCUCCUUCCUGCUGGACAGCACACAGACAAGUUGGAAAGGAAUCCUAUAACAAGCUAGCUGCCAUGCAUAUGGAAUGAAGCUUAGUUAAAAAGUCUUUCCAAGUGCUUGAGUAUUUUUAGAUGAUAUUUAGCCCCCUUUAAAUUGAAAGACGAAAUGCAGCAAUUGAAACUGAGUAUGUACUCUGAUCUUGGUGGGGAGGUAAUUCCCCAUAAGAUGUUGUGUCUCUGAUGAACUCUCAACAAAUUCAAAAUAUAGGAUGUUAUCAAACU